GACGAACGCUGGCGGCGUGCCUAAUACAUGCAAGUUGAGCGCUGAAGGUUGGUACUUGUACCAACUGGAUGAGCAGCGAACGGGUGAGUAACGCGUGGGGAAUCUGCCUUUGAGCGGGGGACAACAUUUGGAAACGAAUGCUAAUACCGCAUAAAAACUUUAAACACAAGUUUUAAGUUUGAAAGAUGCAAUUGCAUCACUCAAAGAUGAUCCCGCGUUGUAUUAGCUAGUUGGUGAGGUAAAGGCUCACCAAGGCGAUGAUACAUAGCCGACCUGAGAGGGUGAUCGGCCACAUAGGGACUGAGACACGGCCCAAACUCCUACGGGAGGCAGCAGUAGGGAAUCUUCGGCAAUGGACGAAAGUCUGACCGAGCAACGCCGCGGGAGUGAAGAAGGUUUUCGGAUCGUAAAACUCUGUUGGUAGAGAAGAACGUUGGUGAGAGUGGAAAGCUCAUCAAGUGACGGUAACUACCCAGAAAGGGACGGCUAACUACGUG
rnacentral:rRNA from 1 species